rnacentral:rRNA from 1 species
UACGUAGGGGGCGAGCGUUGUCCGGAAUGAUUGGGCGUAAAGGGCGCGUAGGCGGCCUGAUAAGUCUGGAGUGAAAGUCCUGCCUUCAAGGUGGGAAUUGCUUUGGAAACUGACAGGCUUGAGUGCAGGAGAGGUUAUCGGAAUUCCCGGUGUAGCGGUGAAAUGCGUAGAGAUCGGGAGGAACACCAGUGGCGAAGGCGGGUAACUGGACUGCAACUGACGCUGAGGCGCGAAAGUGUGGGGAGCAAACAGGAUUAGAUACCCUGGUAGUCCACACGGUAAACGAUGAAUGCUAGGUGUAGGGGGUAUCGACCCCUUCUGUGCCGGAGUAAACACAAUAAGCAUUCCGCCUGGGGAGUACGGCCGCAAGGUUGAA